GAUUCACGUCAUGUUAGUCAGGGCCUGUGCACUAGAAUAGGAGUUCAGGUCGAUUUUCAGCGCCAUUUCUGUUACUGGCUUACAUCUAAGAGCUUACUUUUUGGUGUUUUAUUUUUAAAUGUUUGUCAAUCUGGUUUCUGAAACCAAGUUGCAAUCAUGCAUCGAGAAACAAUGUCCAUCUUGCAAAGGUGCAUAAAAUCUAUGCAAAGGUGUUUGAUAUUGUUUGUUUAUUAGCUAUUUGCAUUUUUGAGCAUUUAAAAGUUAUUAUUGUUGCGAAUUAUGCUGUCGUGUUUACUUACUCGAUAUGAGUAAAGGCCUGCUGUGUACCAGGAUGCACGAAUAAGCAAGCGAUAAGACAUUCCAUUCCAAGGAAUGAAGACGUUUGCAGAAUUUGGUUGCAAAAAAUAAAUAACCACAAGUUAAUGCUUGCAAAUACAGUAUUAUCAUCACAUAAAAUAUGUGAUAUUCAUUUUGAACCAAUUUGUAGAAACCCCAUUGGCAGGUUAAAAAAACUUUCACUGCCAACUCUACAUUUACCUGGUAAGAACUUAUAUUUACUAUGACAAUAAAACUCUUAUGAAUCCUAGUGACAAGUUAUGCAGAGGAAAAGAAUUGCUAUUUCCUAACCAAAGUCAAUCUCCCAAUUUAUAAACCAUUCAAUAGAAGCUCAAAACUCAAAAAGUCUCAAAUGCCACUUGUGUAAAAAUAUAAUAUUGUCAAACGAAUUAAUUAAGGCAAAUUCAUUAAUAUAUUCUAGGGAACAUAAAAAAAUCAAUUCUUUAGGCAUAAAGAAACAAAUAUUUCAUUUGGAGAAUUUGACAGACAUUUCCUCAAUAUUUUGUUCAGAUCAUAAGGAUUAUGUAAAUAUUAGUUUUAACAUAUGCAUCUUUCAUUACAUAUGUAUUAUUAAUAAAAUUUUGAAGGGCAAAGAUCAACAAUAUAAAGACUAUGAUGUUGUGAUGAAUAUGGCAUAUGUUAAAUAUAGGGAAAGCUGCAAGAAAGACAAAGGUAAUCAUUAAUUAUCCAUGGUUAUAAAAUCAGUUUUUUAUAUACCAUUAUAUGUACCAUGUACAAACAGAAACAUUUUUUAUACACUCCAACAUCUCACUGUUAACAGUCCUAAGCCUGUUAAAGUGUGAAAGAAAAUUUUUUGUUUAUGGAUAUAGUUAUAAAAUGUCAAAAACAAAAUAAAAAUUAUAAUAAUCA